CACAUCUUCAAUAAACACUAGUAACCCAGUGCCAAUGGAAGCCUUGCAUGCCCAUGCCAUCACACUGCCUCCAACUUGUUUUACAGAUGAUGUGGUAGACUUCAGAUUAUGAGCCGUUCCAAGCCCUCUCCAUACUUUUUUUCUUCCUAUCAUUCUGUUACAGAUUGAUAUUCUUAAUAGAUUCAUCUGUCUAAAGAGUGCUGUUCCAGAACUGGGAUGGCUUUUUUUUUUUUUGGUGUUUUUUGGCAAAGUCUAAUCUGGCCUUUCUAUUCUUGAGAUGUAUUUUCUGUAUGUUAGACUUGGAUAAUGAUAUGCCCACCUUCUGAAGCAUUUUCACUUGGCUGGAUGUUGUUCAGGGGUUUUCCUUUGCCAUGGAAACUUAUUCACCACUGUUGUUUCCCAUGGACGUUCAAACCUCUUUUUGUUGCAGAGCUUGCUAGUGUGUUCUUUUUUAAUCAGAAUGUCUACUCCUAAUGUUCCUGAUAUAUCUCUGAUAGAUUUUUUUUUUCUUCAUCCUAAGG